AGAAGGUAAAAAGAAAUCAACAGAUGAUAUUGAUUUGAGAGUUAAUAAAAUACAACAGAAGAAUAAAGAAAGACAAGAGAAAAAGGAUAAUCACUCAAGUAUAUUGUAAAAUACCUCAUGUGCAUAGCAAGAUUUGACUACAGGACGAGUCAAUAUUAAAUGAAAGAGGUAGCCAAUUAUAACUGCUCUACAUUUAACAUGUCCUUCAAACAAGGUUACUAUUUAAAUAUUUCUCUGAUUUGUUGAUUUUUCUGAUAAGUAAUUAGAUUUUGUGGUAAAUUUCACAAAUAUUAAAACUGAGAGAAUGGAAAUGUUAACUCGAAGAAAAAAUGUUCCUCUCAAGUGUCCAAUAUGUGAGCAAAGUUGUUCAUCUCGACGAUCAAUGAAGAUUCAUAUAUUAUAUCACACGGGAGAGCGUCCUUUUAAAUGUUUGACAUGUGAAAAAACCUUUUUCCAACUACAUCAAGUAAAUAGUCAUUUGUUGAUACACUAUAGGAAGUGUCCUUAUAAGUGUGCUAUAUGUGGGAAAUCCUUUACAUCCAAGGGCAAGAUGAACGAACAUUCUUUGGUUCAUACAGGAGAGAGGCCUUACAAGUGCAGUACAUGUGAAAAAACCUUUCAAUUCAAACGGGUUAUGAAGAGACAUUUAAUGGUUCACACAGGAGAGACACCUUAUGAGUGCAGUACAUGUGGGAAAUCCUUUACAUCCAAAGGCAAUAUGAAGAGACAUUCAUUGGUUCACACAGGAGAGACACCUUAUAAGUGCAGUAUAUGUGGGAAACCCUUUAAAUUCAAAUGGGUUAUGAAGAAACAUUUAAUGGUUCACACAGGAGAGACACCUUAUAAGUGCAGUAUAUGUGGGAAACCCUUUAAAAGCAAAUGGGUUAUGAAGAAGCAUUUAAUGGUUCACACAGGAGAGACACCUUAUAAGUGCAGUAUAUGUGGGAAAUCCUUCAAAUUCAAAUGGAUUAUGAAGACACAUUUAAUGGUUCAUAAAGGAGAGACACCUUAUAAGUGCAGUAUAUGUGGGAAACCCUUUAAAUUCAAAUGGGAUUUGAAGAAACAUUUAAUGGUUCAUACAGGAGAGACACCUUAUAAGUGCAGUACAUGUGGGAAAUCCUUUACAUCUAAAAGCAAUAUGAAGGCUCAUUCAUUGGUUCAUACAGGAGAGAGACCUUAUAAGUGUACUGCAUGUGGAAAAUCCUUUGCAUCAAAAAUCGAAAUGGUAAAUCAUUCAUUGGUUCACACAGGAGAGAGACCUUACAUGUGCAUUACAUGUGGAAAAUCCUUUAAAUCCAAAGGAAAUAUGAAGAGUCAUUCAUUGGUUCACACAAGAGAGAGUCCUUACAAGUGCAGUACAUGUGGAAAAUCCUUUACAUCCAAAUAUAGUAUGAAAAAUCAUUCAUUGGUUCACACAGGAGAGAGUCCUUACAAGUGCAGUACAUGUGGAAAAUCCUUUACAUCCAAAAUCAAUAUGAAAAAUCAUUCAUUAGGUCACACAGGAGAGAGUCCUUACAAGUGCAGUACAUGUGGAAAAUCCUUUACAUCCAAAAUCCAUAUGAAGAGACAUUUAUUGGUUCAUACAGGAGAGAGGCCUUACAAGUGCAGUACAUGUGGAAAAUCCUUAACAUACAAAAUUAAUAUGAAGAGACAUUUAUUGGUUCAUACAGGAGAGAGGCCUUACAAUUGCAGUACAUGUGGAAAAUCCUUUAGAACCAAAUGGGAUAUGAAUAGGCAUUCAUUUGUUCAUACAGCAAAGAGAGAGCAAAGAGAAAUAUUUACCUUAUAAGUUGAGAAGGUAAAAAGAAAUCAACAGAUGAUAUUGAUUUGAGAGUUAAUAAAAUACAACAGAAGAAUAAAGAAAGACAAGAGAAAAAGGAUAAUCACUCAAGUAUAUUGUAAAAUACCUCAUGUGCAUAGCAAGAUUUGACUACAGGACGAGUCAAUAUUAAAUGAAAGAGAUUGAGAAGGUAAAAAGAAAGCAACAGAUGAUAUUGAUUUGAGAGUUAAUAUAAUACAACAGAAGAAUAAAGAAAGACAAGAGAAAAAGGAUAUUCACUCAAGUAUAUUGUAAAAUACCUCAUGUGCAUAGCAAGAUUUGACUACAGGACGAGUCAAUAUUAAAUGAAAGAGGUAGCCAAUCGUAACUGCUCUACAUUUAACAUGUCCUUCAAACAAGGUUACUAUUUAAAUAUUUCUCUGAUUUGUAGAUUUUUCUGAUUAGUAAUUAGCUUUUGUGGUAAAUUUCACAAAUAUUAAAACUGAAAGAAUGGAAAUGUUAACUCGAAGAAAAAAUAUUCCUCUCAAGUGUCCAAUAUGUAAGCAAAGUUGUUCAACUCAAUCGGCAAUGAAGAUUCAUAUAUUAUAUCACACGGGAGAGCGUUCCUUAAAAUGUUUGACAUGUGAGAAAACCUUUUUCCAACUACACCAAGUAAAGAGUCAUGUGUUGAUACGCAUUAGGAAAAGUCCUUAUAAGUGUUCUAUAUGUGGAAAAUCCUUUUUAACCAAGGGCAAUAUGAACAAACAUUCUUUGGUUCAUACAGGAGAAAAACCUUACAAUUGCAGUACGUGUGGGAAAUCCUUUACAACCAAAGGCUAUAUGAAGGAUCAUUCAUUGGUUCAUACAGGAGAGAGUCCUUACAAGUGCACUACAUGUGGAAAAUCCUUUACAACCAAAUCGGAUAUGAAGAGACAUUCUUUGAUUCAUACCGGAGAAAAACCUUACAAUUGCAGUACGUGUGGGAAAUCCUUUACAACCAAAGGCUAUAUGAAGAAUCAUUCAUUGGUUCAUACAGGAAAGAGUCCUUACAAGUGCACUACAUGUCGAAAAUCCUUUACAACCAAAGGCAAUAUGAAGAAGCAUUCAUUGGUUCAUACAGGAGAGAGUCCUUAC